rnacentral:rRNA from 1 species
AUUGAACGCUGGCGGCAGGCUUAACACAUGCAAGUCGAGCGGGGAAAAGUAGCUUGCUACUGGACCUAGCGGCGGACGGGUGAGUAAUGCUUAGGAAUCUGCCUAUUAGUGGGGGACAACAUCUCGAAAGGGAUGCUAAUACCGCAUACGUCCUACGGGAGAAAGCAGGGGACCUUCGGGCCUUGCGCUAAUAGAUGAGCCUAAGUCGGAUUAGCUAGUUGGUGGGGUAAAGGCCUACCAAGGCGACGAUCUGUAGCGGGUCUGAGAGGAUGAUCCGACACACUGGGACUGAGACACGGCCCAGACUCCUACGGGAGGCAGCUGUGGGGAAUAUUGGACAAUGGGGGGAACCCUGAUCCAGCCAUGCCGCGUGUGUGGAGAAGGCCUUUUGGUUGUAAAGCACUUUAAGCGAGGAGGAGGCUACCGAGAUUAAUACUCUGGGAUAGUGGACGUUACUCGCAGAAUAAGCACCGGCUAACUCUGUGCCAGCAGCCGCCGUAACAC